UGGGGAAUAUUGGACAAUGGGCGAAAGCCUGAUCCAGCCAUGCCGCGUGUGUGAAGAAGGUCUUCGGAUUGUAAAGCACUUUAAGUUGGGAGGAAGGGCAGUAAGUGAAUACCUUGCUGUUUUGACGUUACCGACAGAAUAAGCACCGGCUAACUCUGUGCCAGCAGCCGCGGUAAUACAGAGGGUGCAAGCGUUAAUCGGAAUUACUGGGCGUAAAGCGCGCGUAGGUGGUUCGUUAAGUUGAAUGUGAAAGCCCCGGGCUCAACCUGGGAACUGCAUCCAAAACUGGCGAGCUAGAGUAGGGCAGAGGGUGGUGGAAUUUCCUGUGUAGCGGUGAAAUGCGUAGAUAUAGGAAGUAACACCAGUGGCGAAGGCGACCACCUGGGCUCAUACUGACACUGAGGUGCGAAAGCGUGGGGAGCAAACAGG
rnacentral:rRNA from 1 species